rnacentral:rRNA from 1 species
AUUGAACGCUGGCGGCAUGCUUUACACAUGCAAGUCGGACGGCAGCACAGAGAAGCUUGCUUCUUGGGUGGCGAGUGGCGAACGGGUGAGUAAUAUAUCGGAACGUACCGAGUAAUGGGGGAUAACUAAUCGAAAGAUUAGCUAAUACCGCAUAUUCUCUGAGGAGGAAAGCAGGGGACCUUCGGGCCUUGCGUUAUUCGAGCGGCCGAUAUCUGAUUAGCUAGUUGGUGGGGUAAAGGCCUACCAAGGCGACGAUCAGUAGCGGGUCUGAGAGGAUGAUCCGCCACACUGGGACUGAGACACGGCCCAGACUCCUCCGGGAGGCAGCAGUGGGGAAUUUUGGACAAUGGGCGCAAGCCUGAUCCAGCCAUGCCGCGUGUCUGAAGAAGGCCUUCGGGUUGUAAAGGACUUUUGUCAGGGAAGAAAAGGCUGUUGCUAAUACCGACAGCUGAUGACGGUACCUGAAGAAUAAGCACCGGCUAACUACGUG